CAGCAGCCGCGGUAAUACCGGCGGCCCGAGUGGUGGCCGCUAUUAUUGGGCCUAAAGCGUCCGUAGCCGGGCCCGUAAGUCCCUGGCGAAAUCCCACGGCUCAACCGUGGGGCUUGCUGGGGAUACUGCGGGCCUUGGGACCGGGAGAGGCGGGGGGUACCCCUGGGGUAGGGGGGGAAUCCUAUAAUCCCAGGGGGUCCGCCAGUGGCGAAGGCGCCCCGCUGGAACGGGUCCGACGGUGAGGGACGAAGGCCAGGGGAGCAAACCGGAUUAGAUACCCGGGUAGUCCUGGCUGUAAACGAUGCGGACUUUGUGUCGGACAAGCUAUGAGCUUGUCCGGUGCCGGAGGGAAACCGUUAAGUCCGCCGCCUGGGGAGUACGGCCGCAAGGCUGAAACUUAAAGGAAUUGGCGGG
rnacentral:rRNA from 1 species